rnacentral:lncRNA from 1 species
UUUGGAUGAAAAAUAAUUAUAAUCCAUAAACUAAUCCCACAACAAACCUACCUUUUAAUUCCUAUUCCUAAUCACAAAGAAAUAACAACAAAUUUGGGAUUUUGAACACCAAAAACAACUUGAUGCAUCAUCACAAACACUUUUAGCCAAAUAAAUCUACCAUCAAAUCAACAUAUUAUUAUUAUUGCUGUACAAGAAGAGCAAACAACUGAAGAAGCAGUUACCGUCUUCCUAAAAACAUCAUUCUGAUUUGGGCACAGUAACCACCAGCUCUCCGUCACUAAAAACGGCCGUCGCAAGCUCCGGCAGCGUAGCAGGCGGAAGUCGAAACCGCCACACCUUGAGCUCCACUUCAUUAAUCGCAAAAUCAGCGAUGAAACGCACACCUCUAACAACAAUUUUAGUAACACCUGGAACAAUCUCAAUGGUGUGAGCCGUGACGUCAGAGCCGACGUCAUCGUCCGUAUCGACGACGAAUCUGAAGGAAUUAGCGGUUUCCUGAACCGACACAUCGGCGAAUGGGAGCUCCAGGACUUUAGCGAAGAUGUGUGGGAGUCGCCGGAGCUUUUUUUGACGGCCGUUAGCGGCGGUUGUGUCGUAACGGAGUGUGAUGUUUCGAUUGGACGGAGAUGGAUGAACUUUCAUGGUUCAGGAGAUUUGAAAGGCUAGGGUUAGGGUUUGUAAUUGGGGAUGAUUGAGAUUGGAUUGGGGAAAUGUGAAGGAUAGAUUUUAUUUAAAAUUUUGUAAAACAAAAUUUAUUUAUUUAAAUAAAAAUUGAGUGCGUUACAUGGAAAGUGACCAUCCCCAACAAUCGUGA